rnacentral:rRNA from 1 species
AGAGUUUGAUCCUGGCUCAGGGUAAACGCUGGCGGCGUGCCUAAAACAUGCAAGUCGAACGGGCACCUUCGGGUGUCAGUGGCAGACGGCUGAGUAACGCGUGGGUGACGUACCUGUUGGUGGGGAAUAACUGCCCGAAAGGGUGGCUAAUUCCGCAUAAGCCCUUCGAUUCAGUUUGGAGGGGAAAGCCGCAAGGCGCCGAUGGAGCGGCCCGCGUCCGAUUAGCUGGUUGGUGGGGUAACGGCCUACCAAGGCGACGAUCGGUAGCUGGUCUCAGAGGAUGAUCAGCCAGACUGGGACUGAGACACGGCCCAGACUCCUACGGGAGGCAGCAGUUAGGAAUUUUGGGCAAUGGGCGCAAGCCUGACCCAGCAACGCCGCGUGGGUGACGAAGGCCUUCGGGUUGUAAAGCCCUUUUCUGAGGGAAGAUGAUGACGGUACCUCAGGAAGAAGCACCGGCUAACUACGUGCCAGCAGCCGCGGUAAUACGUAGGGUGCGAGCGUUGCCCGGAUUUAUUGGGCGUAAAGGGCGCGUAGGCGGCCACGCACGUCCGUUGUGAAAUCGCUCGGCUCAACUGGGCGGGGUCAGCGGAUACGGUGUGGCUGGAGCAAGCUAGGGGGCAAUGGAAUUCCCGGUGUAGUGGUGGAAUGCGUAGAUAUCGGGAGGAACACCAGUGGCGAAGGCGGUUGCCUGGAGCUUUGCUGACGCUGAGGCGCGAAAGCGUGGGGAGCGAUCCGGAUUAGAUACCCGGGUAGUCC